rnacentral:rRNA from 1 species
CGCUGGCGGCAUGCUUUACACAUGCAAGUCGAACGGCAGCGCGGGGGCAACCCUGGCGGCGAGUGGCGAACGGGUGAGUAAUAUAUCGGAACGUACCCAGGAGUGGGGGAUAACGUAGCGAAAGUUACGCUAAUACCGCAUACGACCUACGGGUGAAAGUGGGGGACCGCAAGGCCUCAUGCUCAUGGAGCGGCCGAUAUCUGAUUAGCUAGUUGGUGCGGUAAAGGCUCACCAAGGCAACGAUCAGUAGCUGGUCUGAGAGGACGACCAGCCACACUGGAACUGAGACACGGUCCAGACUCCUACGGGAGGCAGCAGUGGGGAAUUUUGGACAAUGGGGGCAACCCUGAUCCAGCAAUGCCGCGUGAGUGAAGAAGGCCUUCGGGUUGUAAAGCUCUUUUGUCAGGGAAGAAACGGUUGAGGCUAAUACCUUCGACUAAUGACGGUACCUGAAGAAUAAGCACCGGCU